GACUCUGGAGAGACUCAAGUUAUGGGCGCCGAAGGGGCAAAAGCAUUUUGCUUAAUCUCUCAGGCAAAAGGACAGAGCA
rnacentral:ncRNA from 1 species